rnacentral:lncRNA from 1 species
AUAUUAUGACAUGAAAUAGGUACGAUCUAGUAAUUUUGGAGUCCGGCUAUUAUGCUAUUAAUAACAUCAAGAUGUCAGUACGAUCAAAUUUUUCGCCAUUUGCUUGAUUUUUUAAGUCAUUUUUCAUUCGUUCGAUCACACUUUUCAACCAAUCAUCCACUCAAGUUUAGAGGACCACUAACUGCAUAUCUUUUUAUCAAACAGCUGAAAAUCUAAUAGUGUCAAUCACUUGACGUUAUUAAUUAUGUGGUAAC